AGAAUCCUGCAUGACAAAGUUUAACCAACAGUCAUUAGCGAGUCUUGAGUUGUUUGGGGUGACCCAAAGGGCUAAGCGUAGACAGCAAACUGGUGGGCCGUAAGCCGAAUGAGGUUGAAGUUGAUAGCUCCGAAAUACCUAGUUGGAUAAUGUCAAUAUGUUGGUCUGCAUAGAAGACAGUACUAAACAUUUGUUAUGGUAAGAAUGAUUUAGCUUACCCGGAGUCGUAGGACA
rfam:Clostridium tepidiprofundi DSM 19306 CLTE_contig000105, whole genome shotgun sequence.